AUGAACGCUGGCGGUAUGCUUAACACAUGCAAGUCGAACGGACUCUUCGGAGUUAGUGGCGGACGGGUGAGUCACGCGUGAGAAUCUGGCUUUGGGUUCGGGACAACCACUGGAAACGGUGGCUAAUACCGGAUGUGCCGAGAGGUAAAAGAGAAAUUGCCUGAAGAUGAGCUCGCGUCUGAUUAGCUAGUUGGUGAGGUAAAGGCUCACCAAGGCAGCGAUCAGUAGCUGGUCUGAGAGGAUGACCAGCCACACUGGGACUGAGACACGGCCCAGACUCCGACGGGAGGCAGCAGUGGGGAAUUUUCCGCAAUGGGCGAAAGCCUGACGGAGCAAUACCGCGUGAGGGAAGAAGGCUCUUGGGUUGUAAACCUCUUUUCUUAGGGAAGAACAAAAUGACGGUACCUAAGGAAUCAGCAUCGGCUAACUCCGUG
rnacentral:rRNA from 1 species